rnacentral:piRNA from 1 species
UCGCCACCAAGAACCCUGAAGAAAUCCGA